UACGGAAGGUGCAAGCGUUAUCCGGAUUCACUGGGUUUAAAGGGUGCGUAGGAGGGUAGGUAAGUCAGUGGUGAAAUCCCCGAGCUUAACUUGGGAACUGCCGUUGAUACUAUCUAUCUUGAAUAUCGUGGAGGUGAGCGGAAUAUGUCAUGUAGCGGUGAAAUGCUUAGAUAUGACAUAGAACACCAAUUGCGAAGGCAGCUUGCUACACGAAUAUUGACUCUGAGGCACGAAAGCGUGGGGAUCAAACAGG
rnacentral:rRNA from 1 species